CCUACGGGAGGCACCAGUGGGGAAUAUUGCACAAUGGGCGCAAGCCUGAUGCAGCCAUGCCGCGUGUAUGAAGAAGGCCUUCGGGUUGUAAAGUACUUUCAGUCGGGAGGAAGGUGGUGAGCUUAAUACGCUCAUCAAUUGACGUUACCGACAGAAGAAGCACCGGCUAACUCCGUGCCAGCAGCCGCGGUAAUACGGAGGGUGCAAGCGUUAAUCGGAAUUACUGGGCGUAAAGCGCACGCGGGCGGUUGAUUGAGUCAGAUGUGAAAUCCCCGGGCUUAACCCGGGAAUUGCAUCUGAUACUGGUCAGCUAGAGUCUUGUAGAGGGGGGUAGAAUUCCAUGUGUAGCGGUGAGAUGCGUAGAGAUGUGGAGGAAUACCGGUGGCGAAGGCGGCCCCCUGGACAAAGACUGACGCUCAGGCGCGAAAGCGUGGGGAGCAAACAGGAUUAGAUACCCUCGUAGUC
rnacentral:rRNA from 1 species